GGCACUUUUGUGUGUUUUUGUCCUAACUUGUGGACUAAAACUUAAUGGAUAGGUACAAAAAACAAAUCCUCAUUUGCAGUCCAUAAAUCAUUGUUCAGUAUGAGUUUUGAUACGUGUAACAAGGAAUAUA
ensembl:snoRNA